ensembl:miRNA
CCUGGAAUUCUGGAGAAGCACGGUGUAGGGUGGGCCUAAGGGUUUAAAAUGAGGGGCAAAAUCUGUGUUUUAUUUGAGG